rnacentral:rRNA from 1 species
AUACGGAGGGUGCGAGCGUUAAUCGGAAUUACUGGGCGUAAAGCGUACGUAGGCGGUUGGUUAAGUUAGAUGUGAAAGCCCCGGGCUUAACCUGGGAACUGCAUUUAAAACUGGCGAACUAGAGUUGAGUAGAGGGGAGUGGAAUUUCAGGUGUAGCGGCGAAGUGCGUAGAGAUCUGAAGGAACACCAGUGGCGAAGGCGACUCCCUGGACUCGAACUGACGCUGAGGUACGAAAGCGUGGGUAGCAAACGGGAUUAGAUACCCCAGUAGUCC